AAGAAUUUAAAGGUCGAACAGACCUUUCCCUUAAGCACCUACACCUAAGUAAAUCUUAAUCCAACAUCGAGGUCGCAACCCCCCCUGUCGAUAAGAACUCUCAAAAGAGAUUACG
rnacentral:rRNA from 1 species